AGGGAAGGAAAGGGAGGGAGUGAAGGAAGGAAGGAGGAAGGGCUCCCCUUCAACCCCUCUCGUUCUCGGGAGGGUUUCGCCUUCUGGGGACGCUUGGCGCUGUGGUAAAGCAUCCAUCACAGAAUCAGCCCCUGGCAAUGCCAACAUCUAUUUCCCCAGGAGUAUUGACUGGCUGUGAUAUUUCUGCUUGGAAAACAGCUCUUUGGAGUUCAGUCACUACCAAGAUGCUUUCUUUGCUGUCAGCCAAGCAGAAAGAAAUUUUUAUUCCUUAAAAUAUGCAGAAAAUGCCUUAAAUCCUGAACUAUUGGAAUAUUUAUCAACCUUGAAUUCACACAGCACUUGAGAGAAGUGCACAGCAUUUCAGGAUACCUCACCAAAAGCUGGCAUUCCUCAUAGACAGCAAUCUUUUGGCUCCUGAGUUACAGAUAGAUGUCAGAUGGGAGAGCAUCAAAGAACAGCAGAAUAUGGAAGAAAGCUAAAAGCAGUGCAGCUGAUCAAAGGAGCAGAAAAAACCAAGUCACACAUGACAAAGUUCUAUGACAAAGGCUUCAGGAGAAGCAGUUAUGCUCUCUGCACUUUCCAACACAAUUUCUCCUACUGUUGUUCCCUCUGGAGACGAAUAACCUGCUCC